rnacentral:rRNA from 1 species
AUUGAACGCUGGCGGCAUGCCUUACACAUGCAAGUCGAACGGCAGCACGGACUUCGGUCUGGUGGCGAGUGGCGAACGGGUGAGUAAUAUAUCGGAACAUACCCUAGAGUGGGGGAUAACGUAGCGAAAGUUACGCUAAUACCGCAUACGAUCUAAGGAUGGAAGCGGGGGAUCUUAGGACCUCGUGCUCGUGGAGUGGCCGAUAUCUGAUUAGCUAGUUGGUGGGGUAAAGGCCCACCAAGGCAACGAUCAGUAGCUGGUUUGAGAGAACGACCAGCCACACUGGAACUGAGACACGGCCCAGACUCCUACGGGAGGCAGCAGUGGGGAAUUUUGGACAAUGGGGGCAACCCUGAUCCAGCAAUGCCGCGUGAGUGAAGAAGGCCCUCGGGUUGUAAAGCUCUUUUGUCAGGGAAGAAACGGUGGUUCCUAAUACGAGCUGCUAAUGACGGUACCUGAAGAAUAAGCACCGGCUAACUACGUGCCAGCCGCCGCGGUAAGAC